UUUGAUCAUGGCUCAGGACGAACGCUGGCGGCGUGCUUAACACAUGCAAGUCGAACGGAAAGGUCUCUUCGGAGAUACUCGAGUGGCGAACGGGUGAGUAACACGUGGGUGAUCUGCCCUGCACUUUGGGAUAAGCCUGGGAAACUGGGUCUAAUACCGGAUAGGACCGCGCCAUGCAUGUGGUGUGGUGGAAAGCUAUUUGCGGUGUGGGAUGGGCCCGCGGCCUAUCAGCUUGUUGGUGGGGUGAUGGCCUACCAAGGCGACGACGGGUAGCCGGCCUGAGAGGGUGUCCGGCCACACUGGGACUGAGAUACGGCCCAGACUCCUACGGGAGGCAGCAGUGGGGAAUAUUGCACAAUGGGCGCAAGCCUGAUGCAGCGACGCCGCGUGGGGGAUGACGGCCUUCGGGUUGUAAACCUCUUUCACCAUCGGCGAAGCCUUCAGCUUUUGUUGGGGGUGACGGUAGGUGGAGAAGAAGCACCGGCCAACUACGUGCCAGCCGCCG
rnacentral:rRNA from 1 species